AUGACUAUACUUUCAUGGAUCAUUUCUAUAGUUCAUUACUUCUAAAUGUUAUAUUAGAAAACUAUAACAUGCUAUGGAAUAGAGAAUAGCACAGGGACUC
rnacentral:snoRNA from 1 species